AGCGAACGCUGGCGGUAGGCCUAACACAUGCAAGUCGAACGGCAGCACAGUAAGAGCUUGCUCUUACGGGUGGCGAGUGGCGGACGGGUGAGGAAUACAUCGGAAUCUACUUUUUCGUGGGGGAUAACGUAGGGAAACUUACGCUAAUACCGCAUACGACCUACGGGUGAAAGCAGGGGAUCUUCGGACCUUGCGCGAUUGAAUGAGCCGAUGUCGGAUUAGCUAGUUGGCGGGGUAAAGGCCCACCAAGGCGACGAUCCGUAGCUGGUCUGAGAGGAUGAUCAGCCACACUGGAACUGAGACACGGUCCAGACUCCUACGGGAGGCAGCAGUGGGGAAUAUUGGACAAUGGGCGCAAGCCUGAUCCAGCCAUACCGCGUGGGUGAAGAAGGCCUUCGGGCUGUAAAGCCCUUUUGUUGGGAAAGAAAAGCAGCAGGUUAAUACCCCGCUGUUCUGACGGUACCCAAAGAAUAAGCACCGGCUAACUUCGUG
rnacentral:rRNA from 1 species